UACGGAGGAUCCAAGCGUUAUCCGGAAUCAUUGGGUUUAAAGGGUCCGUAGGCGGUUUUGUAAGUCAGUGGUGAAAGCCCAUCGCUCAACGGUGGAACGGCCAUUGAUACUGCAAGACUUGAAUUAUUAGGAAGUAACUAGAAUAUGUAGUGUAGCGGUGAAAUGCUUAGAGAUUACAUGGAAUACCGAUUGCGAAGGCAGGUUACUACUAAUGGAUUGACGCUGAUGGACGAAAGCGUGGGGAGCGAACAGG
rnacentral:rRNA from 1 species